GGUAUUUGAGGGAGGGAAGGAGAAGAUAAGUUGAGUUUUAUCAGCAUAGCAUUCAUAAGAGAACCCAUGUGAGGAUAUAACUUCACCAGCAGAGAAUAGAGGGAGAAAAGGAGAGGACCGAGUGCUGAGCCUUGUGGGACACCAGUGGCGAGUCUGCAUUGAGCAGAUGUCAAUCCCUUCCAUGUUACCUGAUAUGAGCAACCAUCCAGGUCACUCUGGCUGAAGCUGAGGAGAAACAUCAGAAAGAUGUGGAGACCAUCCAUCAGCUGGAGAAAGAGAAAGAUGAGAUGAAGAAGACUCUGAACAACAAAGAGGAGUUUCUAAAGGUCACCUUGGCUCAAGCUGUGGAUGAUGUGGAGACCAUCGCUCAGCUGGAGAAGGAGAACGCUGACCUGAGAAUUGAGGUGGAGACUCUGAGAGACACAGUGAAGAUACUGGGGAAGAAGCUGUUUGAGUGUAACAGA